rnacentral:rRNA from 1 species
AGUUCAGAUUGCAGGCUGCAACUCGCCUGCAUGAAGUUGGAAUUGCUAGUAAUCGCGAAUCAGAAUGUCGCGGUGAAUACGUUCCCGGGCCUUGUACACACCGCCCGUCACACCAUGAGAGUCGAUAACACCCGAAGUCGAUGAGCUAACCUUUUAGGAGGCAGUCGCCUAAGGUGGGGUUGAUAACUGGGGUGAAGUCGUAACAAGGUAGC